CUUAGAUUUAGCCUUGUUGAGAAUCUAACAGUUGAAAACUUUCCGAUGUGCUAAAUGUGCCCCACACACAUCAGCAUCUUGCCUUCUCAAAGAACAAGACUGCACUUAAGCAAAACAAACAAGACUGGCUCUGUUGCCCAUCGGGAGCUAGGACAGUAUCCAGUGCACUCCAGGGAUCAUCCUGUCUCCAUCCUCCCCAGUGCUGGGGUUACAGGUCCAGGUGGCCAUACCUACAUGAUGCUAGGUGUGACUCAAAAUCGGACUACUUCUUGAUUUAACAUGGUUUAUUUCAUGCCACCGAUAUUAGAAAAUGCUAAGUCCUGUGGCAUGGAUAGGAAUAUUUCUUUCUCAUAGACCAAAAUGUCUGAAAGCAAGCACUCUCAGUUACACCAAGGAAUCAGACUCUUGGAUGGCAGCUCUGCCCACAGACCAGCUCCUCUUAC